rnacentral:rRNA from 1 species
UCCUGGCUCAGGAUGAACGCUGGCGGCGUGCCUAACACAUGCAAGUCGAGCGGGCCUGAUAAAGUGAUUAGCUUGCUAAGAACUUAUGACUGGUUAGCGGCGGACGGGUGAGUAACGCGUGGGUAACCUGCCUCAUACAGAGGGAUAGCAGUUGGAAACGACUGGUAAUACCGCAUAAGCGCACAGUACCGCAUGGUACAGUGUGAAAAACUCCGGUGGUAUGAGAUGGACCCGCGUCCGAUUAGCCAGUUGGCGGGGUAACGGCCCACCAAAGCGACGAUCGGUAGCCGGCCUGAGAGGGCGGACGGCCACAUUGGGACUGAGACACGGCCCAGACUCCUACGGGAGGCAGCAGUGGGGGAUAUUGCACAAUGGAGGAAACUCUGAUGCCAGCGACGCCGCGUGGGUGAAGAAGUAUUUCGGUAUGUAAAGCCCUAUCAGCAGGGACGAUAAUGACGGUACCUGACUAAGAAGCCCCGGCUAACUACGUGCCAGCCGCAGC